rnacentral:lncRNA from 1 species
AUCUCUGGAAAACGAGACUUGCCUAACUUUUCAACUGCGGCGUUUAAGUCAAUGGAGACCGUCAGGUCUGCUCGCAGCCCCUCCAUCCGCCAGCAACAGCCUUGCCUUUCCCGAUCCUUCCUCCGCAACUCCCCCACCCCGGGGGGGGGGGGGAGCUGGUGGCUGGCGACCCUGGCGGAGGGAAGGUGACCCCCGGACCCCCGUCCUUACCUUCCUCUCGGAACACUCGGGGCGCCUAAGGCAGCAGCGCAGGCACGCGUCCCAGCAACAGUGACGGAGAGACGCCCCUUCGGUCCCGAGCCCCGGAGCCCAUCUUUCCCCGGCUAAGCUUAAAAAAUCAGGAUGGAUUUUUUUUUUUUAACGCGCACAUAAGAGAAGUAAAAGAACGCGGGGAUCGGGGGUGGGGGGAGAGAGAAUCAAAGAGGGGAGGGCUGGGGGAAUAAAAGCCCCCCAGGAACCCGGAGCCUACGCCGUAGCCAAGUGAAUCCAACCUCCCACCGAGGCGCCGGCGGGAGCGGGGAGAGCCCCCGAAGACAGACGCUAAGGAAUUUAAAAAAAAAAAAAAAAAAGGAAGUGGCUUCACAGCCACUGGAGCUGUUUUUCCAGACCUGCGCCCCCCCAGCAAAGCAAUCGGCCAGGAAGCCAAGGAAGCGCGCCGAGCAGAGGCGGCGGCGCGGCCGAUGCGCCGGGGCGGCGGGUUCACUCCGCGGGCGCCCGCGGCCGCCUCGGGAGGCUGGGGCUCCUGUCUUCCCCUCUCCCCGCUCUCCUCCCGCCCCUCCGUCUCCUCCCGCCCCACAGCCCGCAGAGAGUCGAUAGAAUUGAAUCCAGCAAGGAACCAGAACCGGUGCAUCAACCUCAGGCUCGGUAUCUCUUCUUGCCUGUUCACUGGGUGCCAGUCCCUGUAUGACAGCUGUUGUACUGUACUACUGUACUUUUCAAGAGAAGAAGGCUUUAAAGAUCCUGAAACAAGUCAAUCAUUGGUCUAUUUUACACAUAAUCACUAAGCAGGUACUCCCCUUAAGGCAUGUUGUAACAUGUUUGGGAGUCAGAGGUGGUAAGAGUCCCGCCAUUGCUAUGAUAGUCUCUGUUGGUAGAGGUAACCAGUGAAUAACUAGCCACACUUAAUUAUAUGUUGAAAAUGUAUCGAAUGUCUCAGAGGACAAAGAAAGCACAUUCUGAAAAGUGAGAAGCACGUGUGGUGGGGGAGGGGGGCAUACGAUCAGGUAUUGGUGGGCAGAGAACAGUUUUCUGAGGAAGUGGCAUUUAAUCAGAGAGCUGAAGGACAGUGAGAGGUGACUAGUCAUCUUCGCCAAGGGGAACAGGCGGUGGAAAUACACUGAGGUGGGUGGGAGCAGAACAGGUUCAGAAAAAGAAAAUAAAAGUGUGGAGAGUGAAAAACA